rnacentral:rRNA from 1 species
UACGAAGGGGACUAGCGUUGUUCGGAAUUACUGGGCGUAAAGCGCGCGUAGGCGGAUCGCUAAGUCAGGGGUGAAAUCCCAGGGCUCAACCCUGGAACUGCCUUUGAUACUGACGAUCUGGAGAUCGGGAGAGGUUGGUGGAAUUCCGAGUGUAGAGGUGAAAUUCGUAGAUAUUCGGAGGAACACCAGAAGCGAAGGCGGCUCACUGACCCGAUACUGACGCUGAGGCACGAAAGCGUGGGGAGCAAACAGG